CAUGGCUUCUUACAAUAAUCUAGCUUCGUUGCCAUCUCCACAGCAAAAAUUCUCUCCUUGGCGAUCAUUCUCGGUGGCUGAUUUACAGCAAUGUGCCAGUAAUACAGCUACCCUUGACAAAACCGUUCACUAACUUGACGUUUUCAUGUACUUGUAUCCAACCCUAUAUAGACUUCAUUGCCAUGGGGUCACAGGGAAAGGGUUUUUGUCUUUUUUGUUUUUUUUCCCUCUAGUGUUUUCGAUGGAGUUUCAAUUCCUUUUACCU
rnacentral:misc_RNA from 1 species